AACGAACGCUAUCGGUAUGCUUAACACAUGCCAGUCGGACGGACUAAUUAGGGCUUGCUCCAAUUAGUUAGUGGCAGACGGGUGAGUAACACGUGGGAAUCUGCCCAUCAGUACGGAAUAACUUUUAGAAAUAAAAGCUAAUACCGUAUAUUCUCUACAGAGGAAAGAUUUAUCGCUGAUGGAUGAGCCCGCGUCAGAUUAGGUAGUGGGUGAGGUAACGGCUCACCAAGCCGACGAUCUGGAGCUGGGCUGAGAGGAUGGUCGGCCACACUGGGGCUGAGGCACGGCCGAGACUCGGACGGGAGGGGGGGGUGGGGAAUAGUGGGGGAGGGGCGAAGGCGUGAUCCAGCAGGGCCGGGGGAGUGGUAAAGGCGGGAGGGUUGUAAGGCUCGUUUAGCAAGGAAGGUCAUGACGUUACUGGGAGAAAAAGCCCCGGCUAACUCCGUG
rnacentral:rRNA from 1 species